rnacentral:rRNA from 1 species
CAGUAGCCGCGGUAACACGUAGGUGGCAAGCGUUGUCCGGAAUUAUUGGGCGUAAAGGGCUCGCAGGCGGUUUCUUAAGUCUGAUGUGAAAGCCCCCGGCUCAACCGGGGAGGGUCAUUGGAAACUGGGAAACUUGAGUGCAGAAGAGGAGAGUGGAAUUCCACGUGUAGCGGUGAAAUGCGUAGAGAUGUGGAGGAACACCAGUGGCGAAGGCGACUCUCUGGUCUGUAACUGACGCUGAGGAGCGAAAGCGUGGGGAGCGAACAAGAUUAGAUACCCCCGUAGUCCCUGUCUCUUAUAC